rnacentral:rRNA from 1 species
AACGAACGCUGGCGGCAGGCCUAACACAUGCAAGUCGAGCGAGGACUUCGGUCCUAGCGGCGGACGGGUGAGUAACGCGUGGGAACGUGCCCUUUGCUUCGGAAUAGCCCUGGGAAACUGGGAGUAAUACCGGAUGAGCCCUUUGGGGGAAAGAUUUAUCGGCGAAGGAUCGGCCCGCGUUGGAUUAGGUAGUUGGUGGGGUAAUGGCCUACCAAGCCGACGAUCCAUAGCUGGUUUGAGAGGAUGAUCAGCCACACUGGGACUGAGACACGGCCCAGACUCUUACGGGAGGGAGCAGUGGGGAAUCUUGGACAAUGGGGGAAACCCUGAUCUAGCCAUGCCGGGUGAGCGAUGAAGGCCUUAGGGUUGUAAAGCUCUUUAAGCUGGGAAGAUAAUGACGGUACCAGCAGAAGAAGCCCCGGCUAACUCCGUG